GGCCCAGUGGCGGAUGGUUUCUGCACCUGCUUUCUAUUAGCAUAUACUUGAAGUUAGCAGGAGAUGCUCGUUCGACUCGAGCCUGGGCCA